GAGGGAGAGGACCCAGAGAUGUCAUACCUUUCCUUGACAGCCCCACCAAGAAAGGAAAAGUGAUGGCAGUCUGGAGUUUUGAAACGGAACAGGGCUGGGGGGGCAGAGUGGGAGGACAAUCAGACAGCCUUCGGCCUCUCUGAAAUAGGGUAACUGGACCUUCUUCAGGCCUAGUAGUGAUUUCAUAGAAUAGAGGGCCGAAAAACCAGAUUACACUGCAAUUUUCUGGCCUGGUUGGAUCUGACUCGCCAGACACCUCUAGCCCUACACUUCCUUUCCUAGCUGCUAGCUCCUCUCAAGCUGGCCUCGAUUUGCAGCUCUAACUUGGGCGUCCUCCGGACACUGGCGCUGCCCAUGCCGGGGCCCACGUCGCCCACCCCGGAUUCCACACUCUCUCCUCAAGAGGACACAACGCGGCCGGGAGCAGUAGGGAGCACCAUCGAGAAGCGAUGCGCGGAUAGAGAGGUGACGGGAGCGGGCGCCCCCGGGCGGCCGGAGGACGACCAGGCGUUGCGAAGAGACCAGCCCACCCCGCCGGCUGGAGCGCCUGCUUCACCGCAGCGCAGAGCGUUUUAUCCUUUUCCAAAGCAUUCUGUGUGCUUUGCUUUCCAUUCCGCUGCUCCGACUCCGGGGACUAGAGAGAGAAACGUGCUGUUUGUUCGUUUUACGAACGGAAAAGCUGAACUCAAAGGAGUUAAAUGUCUUGGCAAAGACAAGUCGGCAAAUUAAAAGAAAAGCCGUCCUGGCUUCCGGUCUCCUGGCUGGUAGCCGGGGCCUCAUUUCAUAGAUAGUGGCUCAAUAACUCCCCGAUGCGGGAACUUCAACCUUCAUCUCAGACCUUUAACUAAAGAUUUUAAUGAGUGUUGACUUUGAAUCCUC